GAUGAAGAAGUAGCGAAAUGCGAUAAGUAAUGCGAAUUGCAGAAUUUCCGUGAGUCAUCGAAUCUUUGAACGCACAUUGCGCCCACUGGUAUUCCGGUGGGCAUGCCUGUUCGAGCGUCAUUAUCCUCCCUCAAACCCCGGGUUUGGUGUUGGACCCAAGUUGUGUGAACAACUGGUCUUAAAGACAAUGACGGCGUCCGUGGGACCCUCGGUGCAACGAGCUUUUAGGAGCACGCAUCGAGUUGCAAGGACCUUCCGGGCCGGUCUCCUUUACUAUUUUACAAGGUUGACCUCGGAUCAGGUAGGAAUACCCGCUGAACUUAAGCAUAUCAAUAAGCGGAGGA
rnacentral:misc_RNA from 1 species